GACGAACGCUGGCGGCGUGCUUAACACAUGCAAGUCGAGCGGUAAGGCCCCUUUUGGGGGGUACACGAGCGGCGAACGGGUGAGUAACACGUGGGUGACCUGCCCUCAGCUCUGGGAUAAGCCUGGGAAACUGGGUCUAAUACUGGAUAUGACUCCACGGUGCAUGUCGGUGGGGUGGAAAGCCUUGUGCGGCUGAGGAUGGGCCCGCGGCCUAUCAGCUUGUUGGUGGGGUGANGGCCUACCAAGGCGACGACGGGUAGCCGGCCUGAGAGGGCGACCGGCCACACUGGGACUGAGACACGGCCCAGACUCC
rnacentral:rRNA from 1 species